CUGCGGUGUUCUGGAACCACGAGGAGAGAGAGGGAUAGGGCCAGAGAGGAAGAAGGAGAGAGAGGUGGGAGAGGAAGAAGGAGAGAGAGGUGGGAGAGAGAAGGGCGACUUACCUGGGCUAGAGAUAGCCGGACUCGGAGGAGGUGGCCUUUGACGGAUUUGGCGAGUGAGAGAUAUUGCGAGGACGAUGAGGGGGUGAAGUCGUGACAACGACGAUGAGGCUGGUCCCUGACCUCCAUGAUGAAGGCCUUCAUCCCUAUGAGAAAGAGAGAGAGCAGCCAUGGAGCCAUGGAGGUAGGCUGACGGCGAGCAAGACACAAUGAAGAAGGGAUCGCGAGGUAGAGAGAGCUUUGGGUUAGGGUUUCAAAAGGGGGGAGGGGCAGAGCGAAGUGAAUCAAAAAUGGGGAGGAAAAUGCUUAUAUUUUCUAAAUCGAAGCCUUGAACCAUUCUGGUAACCGGCUGGUUCCAGUUCGAUCCUCCCCAAAUCGGCUGGUUUGGCACGAUUUGGCUAACCUUAGGUAAGAACAUUGAUUGUCUCAACUUAGAUCUAAGUUUAAUAUGUUAUUACGUUUAGAAUCUAUGUCAACUAAAAACCUACAACCAUAACCUGCAUAUGUGGUCGAGUUUUUGAAUCCUUGGGCUCCAAUCAUUUAUUCAUUCUGAUAAAGGGUUACCCUUGGUCUUAUUUUGAGUUUUUCAAAUUCAUUCUCAUAUAUUUUAUCCAUCUUAGCUACUUAAUAAUUAGGACUUUUCUUCUUAUUUCUAAAUCCUUGAACAAAAGUUUGAGUACCUCCCUUAUUGAAUUCUUGUAAUACUUCAGUUAUAUUCCCAUACCAUCUUAACUAGUCCUCCAUCACUAUCCUCAUUCACUUCAACCGUUCUUUCUCUUUUAAUAUACUCAUUCCUUGAUUUAUCCUUUUUAUGUUUCAGCACCUUCUUUAAACAUUUUUAUUUUGUUAAACUUGUAACUUUAUUACCGUUCCUUUUUAUUGCCCAAUAUUUUGAGCCAUACAAUAUUACAAUUCUUUUUUCAAAUCUUCUCUUAAGUUCCCAAGAUACAUGUUCAUCACAUGACAUUCUGGAAGCACCUUUCUGGUUCAACCAUCCAGCCUUAUUUCUAUUACAUAUGUCUUCAUCUCUAUCUCUACCCGCUUUUAUGUCAAGAACCUAAAUAAAAAGAAACUAGUCACACCAUUAUAUCUCUUGUUCAUCAAUCUUGAUAAUGCCCAAGGGUUUCCUCAACUGCAUAAGAAGAUUACUUCAGUUAUUGACCUUUUUCAAGAUUGCCAUCAUUUUCCUAAAUUUGUAUUCCAUGACCCAUAGCCAUAAGUUUCUAGAGUGGAUCAUUGGUUUAAUUUGAUUUAGAGCAGUUUUUUGUGGCUCCAUUAUUCUCAAAAAUGGGUACCAAAAUAUUCCUCUAAUAAUUCAAAACUCUUGGUUUUUAAGAUCUCAUUCGUAAUCUAGAAAGCUAAACUGACCAAUAACUUUCAUGAUUUUUCUCACCUCAUUGUGUUUCAUCUGCCUUAGGUUUUUGUAUGCUUUUCAAAGUUACAUCUACUUAAGUUUUUUAAUUGAAUGAAGAAAACCAUGAUGACUCCUUUAUCUAACCUCUUCUGUACAUUUUUUGGCAAAAUCCUCAUUCAAAUAUUUUUUUUCCAGAAUGACCACUCUUUGGUGUCCAUAUCUUUCAUCAAAUACUUGUGAUUCUCAUCAUUACAGUGCCUUACUUGGUCGGCAUAUCUAGAUUUUGCAUUUAUUUCAUAAAUUCCAUUUUUACUUGGAAUCUAACCUACUACAAACUAUCAUAUGCAAUAUUUUUUUCUUUUUAUAUCUUUCAAAACCCAUUAUGUCAUUUGUUUUUUUUUCCUUUUUGGUAUCGUUUAUUUUAUUGAAAGCAAGCUCUCUUUACCUUAACUGCCUCUCCCAUGCUUCUUUAUGUAUACUGCCUUUGUCUUCAGAUUCUCUAAGAACCUUUUUUAGUCACUCUCCUGAAACAAUCAAGUCUGACUAGUUCCACAUUUGUCAAAUUCCAAUUCUUUAGUUAAAAUUUUCUUCCUUUAAUAUUUUUUUUUCGUUGAGAGAUAUUACAUUUUUGUUGCUUGAAAUUUCACCAUCUUGUCUUUUGGCAUUUAGAAACUUCAAUUUUCUCUUCUUACACCUGGUAUAGACAUCUAGGACUACUAAUGCUGUGUGGUUAGGGUGUCUUCUGGUAUCAACUUAUAAUUGUCUCCUGGAAACAAUUAUCUAUCUAUGAUAAAUUUAAUCCACUCUUAGAAAUAAACAUUCAUCUCUCUUCUUGUAAUACAUAUUUGGUUUUUCUAGGUCCAAAAACACCAGAAGCUCAAGAAUUGAAUCUCCCAUGGAAUUUAUUUAGUUAAAACCCAUGUCCACCAUGUUUUCUCACAUGACCUAUGUAACUCCUUCCUGUAUACCAAUUUAAGUUAGCACCUUUUUCUUCCCAUGAAAUAUCCUGCAUUAAUCUAUUAUCUUCUUCCAAAAUCUCUCUCUCUCUUUCUCUGUGUGUGCGCGCGCGCGCGCGCACUCUCUCUUUUCUUCCAAAUCUACUUGUGGUCCAUGAGAAAUAAGGACAUUAAUAAUCUCAUCUAAACUAACUUGAUAUAUAACUAGAUUAUAUUUCUUAUCCUUUUCAAAUCUAUGAUUUGAUCCUUCAUAUCUUAAGCUCUAAUAUUAUAAUUCCUUUUCUGGUGUGGACAUCUUCUUUAUAUAACUUCUCAGAGUUGCCAAUCUUUGCCAUUCUAUAUAUUUUAUUAUAAACCAUGCUCUACGGAUUCUCUUUUGCACUAUUGCAUGGACCUUCUACUGUAUCUAGUCAAAGUUCCAACUUUUUUUCCUUUUAUUAUGGGAUUAGCUUCUUUGCAUGCCUUUGCUCUAGUUUAUGGGGUCACCUUUGCUUCUUACCAUUGGUGGCACUGUUAAACAUUUUUGGGAAAUAACCUAACACUAAUGAAUCCUUGCUCAUAUUGCACCUCAACGAAGUAUAUUAACCAGCCCAAGUUAGCAUAUGCAAUUAUUCAAUUGACAUGCUAAUCAUUUGAGGCAUACAUGUGGCAUAUAUUGGAAGGAAUCUUAUUAGCUCCUUGUAACAUUUCUUAGCCAAAUAACCAGCAAGCUUUAGUAGUUUCUUUCAGCAAAAUGUAUUUUAUGAGCUUCUAUCAAUCUUUAUUUUCUUUUAUUCUCUAGAGUACAUGUUAUUGUUCUCUUAUUAAUAUUCUUCUCUUGUUUUCCUUGCCUGAACUAAAGCGGGUGUUAAUUAUCAUAGACUUUCUCCUUCUCUGUCUAUUCCCUAAAUGAUCUCUUUAUUUCUUCCAAGUCCUAUCUUCUUUUUUCUUUAUUACUUCCUAACAAUUGUCAAUCUUUUGCUCCAACCUUGAAUCAUUGCAAUUACCAAAUUCUUGAUGGGCUAGGUGAAUUCAUAGAUGCAAAUGAGGUGAAUAUGUUGUAUUCUAAAUAUUGAUUUUGACCUUGGAGGUAAGAUAGGAAGUUGCAAUUUGAGAAAGUGUGAAGAUAUGAGAGAGUGUCCUUGAUAGGAUAGAUGACAGAUAAGUUCACAGAGUGAAUUCAUGAAUGUCGUUAAAAAGCUGCUUGAAUCCUAUAUUAAAUAUUUUGUGAUGGAUGCUAUAACCUUUUAUGUGGAAGACAUGGAACACCUUUAAAUUCACUUUACUAAG
rnacentral:lncRNA from 1 species